CUCUUAUCAAGAGAGGUGGAGGGAUGUGCCCGAUGAAGCCCGGCAACCGUCAAUUUAUUGAAAUGGUGCCAAUUCACACAAAGCGAAUGCUUUGGAAGAUGGGAG
rnacentral:ncRNA from 2 species